rnacentral:lncRNA from 1 species
CAGGCUUAAGAGAACUUUUAGCCAAUCUAAUAGAUCAGACAAUAUGCUAGCCAACACCUAGCAGCAUUGGAUUAAAUUGAUUGCGGCCGCUCUUUAGAGAUUGUCUACUUCAUCUUUCAAGUAUCAAAUCAACAUCCCUGCACAAAGUAUAACAUUAGCAUUGAAUAGUAUCAUAAAAAAUGAGAGGCAAAAUAUAUCAACAACCUAAAUAUAUGGACUCACCAUUUCAAAUCUCCAUCCAGAUAUUCUUUUAUUACUCAUUGCAACUGCUACACUAGCUUCCGAGGCUUUAUCCAUUAUCGGGGAGAAAAAGAAUGAAAUCAACCUUGUGCUUGUGGAGGCUCAGUUGACAGACAUGAAAAUAUAUGAGCUCGUAGAGAAAAUGAAAAGCUCUAAUAUUCCAUCUUUCAUUAUGACUGCUUAUGAUGAUGAAAUUUCUUCAAUAUCACAAGCACUACAUACAGGAGCUAAAUGCUAAAUGGUGUUUUAGAAAACCGGUUCAGAUUUCUGAUCUACAACAGCUGUGGCGAUUCACAGUGUGGAACCGAUUUGAACCAUCAAUCAGCAAAGAAGUAUUUGACUGCUGGUAUAGCCUCCGUCAGAGGUGAUUGUGGAAAAAUAAGAUCUCAAAUUUCAACCAUUCAUUCAUCAAUACAAAAGAACAAUCUCUUCAACAAGGAGAAAGGUCUAUCCAGAGUGUAAAUUACGCUGGAUGUUGCAGGAUGAAUAAGAUCUGAGAGGAACAAAAAUGAUGCAGAAGAAAGAACAAAAUUGCGUCAGAUUUGACUAAAAAUGGUGUACAGGAACGAAAAUCAGAACAAAAACAUGUACUGUAAAACAGGACAUAGCAACUAAAUUCUGUUUUGUCAGAAAAAGUGCUCUGCUAGAAUUUCUGUGGCAUGUUUGUGAAAGGUGCCAACGGAGGCACAAAUGCCAACGGAGGCACUAGCCUGUUAUUAGGGUUUAGUGAAGGAGUCAUAUAUAUAAUUGAAUUUGGGUGUACUUUUCCAAUGAGAGAAGACUACAUACACAAAAGCCCGAUAAAUGGUCCGUGAAAUGGAGUUCAAAUUUGCACCCCCUAAGCAAUGCAACAAUU